CACAAGACCUAUUUUUGGUGAGCGUGUACAUCUUACUGUUAGAAAUAUGAUUAUUAAUACUACUACUAAUAAAUAUUUGAUUGUAGGGACUUCAUUGAGUUGUAUUUAAGUGUGAAAAAGAGAAAAGCAAAACUUGACGUUAACUGCAGAAGAAAACUGCGUUUAGGUAAUCCCUAAUCACUGAGCUUUGGCUGCUAGAGCUUACCAUUUCAGUUUACCAUUAGGCUGAACGUUAAUAAUUCAUGUUAAAAUGUUGGAAAACUUAUAUCCUUUUUUGCUUUUUUUAAAUGAUAUCAAGAAAGGAGAAAAGAAGAAGGCAAAAUAAUUUCAAACAUUUAGAUAGCUUAUUGUGAUAGAGAUUGUAAUGGGAAUGCUUUCCAUUACAUUCUCUAAAAAUGACCUUUAAUUCAAAUUGCUGUUUGCUCCCCUUUCAAAAGAGUGCUUUGAAAGGUUCUGUCUCUUUGAAAGCUUUUGUUUAGGGAGUAGCUUAGUUCAUUUUGCUGAAAAGAAGCCACCCCCCAACUUGUUUCCCAACUGAAGUAAUUGCUGUAACCCCUCAGUCCCAGACAGCUAAUUGAUAAUUAGUUACAAUUUCUCACAGGUGUUUGUGAAAUUGCCAUUUGGAAGCAGCAGUUUCUUCUGAAAGUUGAUCUGAAGAGUGGAGAAAGGACCACUAAAGAUUGGAGUGAGAAGAAAAAUAAUGAGAGGUUGAUUCUGGGGUGGCUUUGCUUUUUUGCUUACGCAGGGUAAGUCUGAAGUGCCCUGUGUACCUGAUGUGGUUUCCUGGGAGAGAGAUCAUGUGUGUUAAGCUGGAAUCCUGGAGUCACAAUGUGAAAAUGUGGAUGAUUUGUGUCCAGCAGAAUUUUUGGUUUUGGUGUUUUACUUUCAUUAGUACCUCUGCUUCCCGCCCCCCACCUGCCUUAUGGGCUGGAAAGAAAAUGAACAUGGGAGUGGGUAAAAAGCAUGGUUUGGAUACCAUGUGCAGUAAGAAGGGCUCUCAUCAUUUCUACCAAAACACCCUGUCAAGCCUCUGCUCUGCCUAUACUCAUAGAAACCAAUAUCAUGACAACGGAUGUGCAAGUGAAGGACUUCUAUAUGAAUUUUAUACAGAGGCACAAGAUCUUUUUAUAGGGGAAGCAUAUGGAGCAGAGUUUAGACUUAAAAGCCCACUGAUUCUACUUGGAAGCAAAAAUGGACAGCGAAGGUUCUUAGUUAAAAACACAAUUCUCAAAACAAGACAACUACCAGAAUUUAUUCAUUCUGGAGGAUUAAAAACAUCAUAUGCACAGAAGAAAUUAUGCCAGUGA
rnacentral:lncRNA from 1 species